AAACAGAUGGCCAACCAAUUCGAGCAAAAAAGCUGAAUGAAAAUGGUUUUUACGAAUUUCAUGGAGUGGGUGAUUUGGCCAUCUUUUAAAAAUCAAGACUCGUGGCUUUAAAAAGACGAGGAUUUAUAAGGAUAUCGUACCCUGCUAUUUCUGUAUUGCGAAGAAUACAUUCUUUGGGCCUUUAAAAAUUGUCAAGUCAGCAUCGUCCCCCUCAAACUCAACAGCCCCGGCACGCUUCUAUGUUUCCAUGUCCCUUUGGCACAGAGUGGGGAAACCAGGCUCCCUUGCCUGGAUUGUUCCAUUUCCAGGCAGGUGUUCUCUUGGAUCCAGGACAGACAGGCAUGAGCUUCAGACCCGCCUCUCGGGGAGACGAUGUGUGGUAGUCAGCCGGGAAACGGACCAGCUGAGGAAGCAGAUGCUUCCAGACGGAGUUUCAACUUCGUUCAAGGAAUUUCAAUGGGAGCAACACUUUUGACCUGAACUCCUACUGUAUCCAUCUAUCAGGUACUAUAAAUUCCAACUUCUCUCAACAGGGCUGCUAAUAGGAACCAACAGAUUACAAAAAACUGAAAUCGGAUGCCACUUGUCUGUGUAUUUCCCUACACAGUGUGCUUUUCUGGGUAUUUAUAGCCCCAUUGUAACUCGGCCCAUCAAACCAGCUUUUUCUCUCCAUCCAUCCAGACAUAAUCUUGGAUACUUUCACUUGCCAGACAUUAUUUCAGAUUACUUUCUGUCAUUUAUUUGGCGCAACCCCCCCCCCCCAAAUCUUGGGCUCCCAUGCUAGUAGGAGUUGCAUUCCUCUAGCCCUUGCAGCCGGGCUCUGCCCUGAAAGACAGAGUGAGCUGACUUAACAC
rnacentral:lncRNA from 1 species